GUAUUUCGCCAUUUUCUCGGAAUGUUCAUCUUUGUGGAUUAUGUUGACGCAUUGGAUGAUAUCGCUCAACGAUGUAUCCCACUUUUUUAUACCUUCAUCAUUAAUACCAUACAACAAAUGAAAGUCGAUAUCAAUCUGAAAGGUAAACAUGAUUCGUUAAAUUACUAAAUAAUAAGGUGAUUUCACUAUCAAGGGAAACUAGAAGUAGGAAAAGAAAAUUGUUUUUUUUUUAUUUCGCAUGUAGAUGUUUUAUCCUUAGAGUUAGGGCCCAGAUAAGCUGAAAUUCCAUUCCGAUUCCGUUCCGUUUUGACGUUGUGGAUCGCAGUGGAACUUAUGUUCAACCCUGUGCAUAUGUCUAAACCAGAGCAAAACAAAUCGAUCAUCUCUUUUUCUCCUAUCAAUUUUUCUUUCGUGUGUCAUCAUGCUUGCGUUACCAGUCAGAAAGAGAUAAAAAACUUUGUUUACAUAUAGUAUUAAAAGCAGCAAACGAAAAUUUCAAUCACAUUUUAAAUCUUUCUGCAAUUAAAAAUAUAUAUUAGCAAAAGUUUUUCACUACAAUCGGAGCAUAAAAAAGUUCCGGAAGUGCUUGUGGAGUUUUGUUGUUGUUUUUCCGAAUAGUAAGCUAGCGAGAGUGGAUAUUUUUUAACACCAUGUCAACAAAAAUGACAAAUUGUUGAUGAGCGAUGUACGGUUGAAAUAAUGCCUGAUGAUAAAUUCUAUUCUAUUGCGAACAAUAAAUCACCUUUGUGUAUUGGUAUUAUGAUGUGUAAUUAUGAUGUGUAAUUCGAUUAAUCCAAAUCAGAUUAGAAACUAGUGUAGGAAGAUCUUGUGUAGUGUUUUAAGGAGCCAAUAAGAAGAUCAUGUAGUGAGAAGACUUCACCCCGGAAGCUUAAACAAGUUGAAGGCUCUUUUGUAUGGCAAUACAAAUUACGAAAUUACAACGAGUGAAACGUGUUAGCAUCUUUGAUACACAGCUGCUAUUUGGACCAGCGAUCAUGCAGUUUUGAAGGCUACACGUGGUAAUGGAUACCCUCGAUACGAGAUUUCAACGUGCCAUAAUGCGAUUUGGAGCUGGCUGAUAACUAUUCGACUAAAACUAUAUAAGGAAUAGACAAACGAAUGAAAUAUCA